ensembl:lincRNA
GUCUUGAUUUCCUCACAAAGCUUCAUGUGGUCACAGGUUGGGUUUUUUCAAAGGGGGUGGGAUUGAGAGUAUGUGAUACUGGGAUUGAUUCUUGGUGAAAUGUCAGGCUCCAGGACACAAGGAUUAUGGGUGUGAGUGCUACCUGCCCUGAGUAGCCUGGAUUACAUGAACGGGAGAGAAAGAAGCUGUGAAGGUCCAAUGCUACCCUGCUUUUGCUAUCUUCCACCUGUCACACACUGCUUUAAUAUUUUCUCUUCAAUGCCCCUCUUUGAAGCCAACAUUCCUCAGUCAGUUGAUUAUGGGCUGAAACUUCUACAAACUGUGAGCUAAACAUUUGCCCCUUUAACUUUGGGUUCUAUGUGUUGCCUCACCAAUGAGAAAAUUCACUAGGACAUUGAUCAAUGAAAGUUAUACUUUAACUUCUUGGUGCACAUUAAAUAGAUAUUAGUAAGCAUCAGUAAUAAUUACAGCCAGCAGGAUACUGUAACGGGAAGGACUCAACUUUACCAAGAUGUCUAGGAUAAUGAAGACAAUUCUGUUGCUGCUCCAUUUGUGUUGUUACUUUAGUGCUGGAAGAUGUGGGAAAGUGCUGGUGUGGCCCAUGGAUUAUAGCCACUGGUUGAAUAUACAGGUGAUCCUCACUGAACUUGUACAGCGGGGACAUGAGGUGACAGUCCUCAGACCUUCAUCUUCUGUUUUUCUUUAUCUCAAUAGUCCCUCUGAUAUAAAAUUUGAAACUUUUCUUACAUCUUCCAAUACAGAAGACAUGAAGAAUUUUUUUGAGCGAACGCUUGAUACCUGGAUAUAUACUGUGCCAAAGGACACCUACUGGAAACAUUUUCCACGGCUGCAAGGCUUGCUCUGGGAAUUUUCUGAUGUUUAUUAUAACAUUACUGAAGGUGCAGUUCGGAACAAGAAACUUAUGACCAAAUUACAAGACUCAAAGUUUGACGUCCUUCUUGCAGAUGCCAUCUUUCCUGGUGGGGACCUGAUGGCUGAACUACUGAAAAUUCCUUUGGUGUACACCCUCCGCUUCUCUCCUGGCUACACAUAUGAAAAGUACAAUGCAGGCCUUCUGUUUCCUCCUUCUUAUGUACCUGUUAUUCUGUCGAGACUAAGCAGUCAAAUGACUUUCAUGGAGAGGGUGAAAAAUUUGAUGCACUUGCUGUAUUUUGACUUCUGGUUUCAAACAUUUAAUGAGAAGAAGUGGAGUCAGUUUUACACUGAAAUUUUAGGGAGACCCACUACAUUAUCACAGAGUAUGGCAAAAGCAGAAAUGUGGCUCAUUCGAUCCUACUGGGAUUUGGAAUUUCCUCGCCCUACCUUGCCAAAUACUGAGUUUGUUGGUGGGCUCCACUGCAAACCUGCCAAGCCCUUGCCUAAGGAAAUGGAAGAGUUUGUGCAGAGCUCUGGAGAACACGGUAUUGUGGUGUUUUCUCUAGGGUCGAUGGUCCACAACCUAACAGAAGAAAGGGCCAAUGUGAUUGCAUUAGCUCUUGCUCAGCUGCCCCAAAAGGUUAUUUGGAGAUACAGUGGCAAGAAACCUGACACCUUACAACCCAAUACUCAACUGUAUGAGUGGAUCCCCCAGAAUGACCUCCUUGGACAUCCCAAAACCAAAGCUUUUGUAACUCAUGGAGGAGCCAAUGGCGUCUACGAUGCCAUCAACCACGGGGUCCCUAUGGUGGGCAUUCCUUUGUUUGGGGAACAACAUGAUAACAUAGCUCACAUGGAAGCCAAAGGAGCAGCUGUUGCAUUGGAUUUCAAGACAAUGUCAACUGCAGAUUUGGUCAAUGCACUGAAGGCAGUCAUGAACAACCCUUCCUUUAAAGAGAAUGCCAUGUGGUUAUCGACCAUUCACCACGACCAGCCGAUGAAGCCCCUGGACCGAGCAGUCUUCUGGAUUGAGUUUGUCAUGCGCCACAAAAGGGCCAAUCACCUGCGGCCACUCGCCCAGAACCUCACCUGGUACCAGUACCACUCUUUGGAUGUGAUUAGCUUCCUGCUGGCUUCUGUGGUGACUGUUACUCUCCUUGUCACAAAAUGUUGCUUGUUUUAUUAUCAGAAGAUUGUUAAGAUAGGAAAGAAGAAGAAGGAGUAGAGCUGAUUGAGCACUCUAGGUCGUUCGCAUGCUAGACCGAUCUAUUGUAUUUUAAUUUAACAUUUAGGAUCAAGGUGUGGGGAGAUGGUAGGCAUGCUAGACCAAUCUAUUGUAUUUUAAUUUAGCAUUUAGGAUCAAGGUGUGGGGAGAUGGUCUUCAAAGUUUUAUAAGACCUUUAACUUUCUGAUUUGCUAGAUAUUUUGUUUCAGUGAAACAUUAAAGAAUAUUCAAUUCUGAUUUCAUAAUUCUUGAAAUAAUUCCAAUUUGGUGUUUGCUUAUACAUUUUAUCAUACCUCUUUAAAAUUAGCAAUUAUUGAAACUUCUCAUUGAAAAGAACAGAAAGAAUAAAGUUUUAUUUGCAUUUUUAGAAAUAGUGUGUUUUUCAAUAAAAUGAUGACAAAUGCAUUAUCUUGGGUCUGUAAAGGAAACCAGAAGGAAAUCAGUUAAAAUUGGUAAGAUCUAUUCAGUCUCUGAAGUGGAAGCAGGAAACUUCAGGUUCAACUCAGGUCAAAUUAUACCCAGACAAAUGUGACUGAAGAAUCUGUAAAACUUAAAAAAGACCAUGGGGCCAGUGUGGAUGUCCUCAUGCACCAGGACAGUGGGCAAGAUUAUAAGAAGUUCGGCACCAGCCUGCACAAGUAUGGGAGACUCUGUCUUAGAGAAAGGAAAGGGCCAGGAGAAGAUUUAAAAUAUUGCAUAUGAGUGCACCAAAUACCCAAAAGGAAGAUAAAAUUUUUAUCUACAAUGCAAGUGAAGAAUAAGAAGAAAAAGAAAAGAACAUGGGGUAAAGAAAUUUAAAGACAGACAAACGGACAUAAGAGGGAAGGUAGAAGGAGGUUAGUAAAAAAACAAACUGUGGCAUGUACAUGGACCUACUCCCCAAGGUGAAAUGAAAUGCAUGUACUAUAAAUGUAUAUACUAAGAAAAUUAAAAUUACAAAACAAAGAAAAAAGGUAGAAGAUGUAGUUCAGUGGUAGAGUAUCUACAAUAUGCACACCUUUAUGUUCAAUUCCUAGCUGUAAUUAUGUAACUUUGUGAUAUCUUUGUGUAGAAUAAAAGGUGUCUUCUACAGAACCUUGACUAUUCACAAGUUAACAUUGUGGACCUAGAAAUUCUAAGUAAUUUUGCAUGAAAAGGAUAAUACAUAUUUACAACUCUGAAAAUGUACACCAUAUUUUCUAUGGGUUGUAAAAUUUUACUUUUCCAAAAACUGUUAGAAUGAUUGAUUACACGGGAGUAUUGGGAUAAUUAAUGCCACAACAUACAAAGUUCCAUGCAGAAAUGGGCACCUGAGAUGAAUACACACCUCUCAGAUGAAGGAAAAGAAGUGGCAAAUAAAUACAUGAAACACUGUUCAACAUCAUUAUUCAUGCAAGAAAUGCAAAUUGAAAUAAGACUGAGAGUCCAUCUCACACCAGAAGAAAAUAGCUAUCAAGAAAUCAGCGAAUAACAAAGCCUGGAGUAGCUGCAAGAAAAAGCAGCCCUUCUCCACUUUUGUACACUGGUAUGACUGUGGAAAUCAGUGUGGAGAAUGCUUUAAAAGGAGGAUUAGAAGUCCCAUUUGGCCCAACUAUCCCCUUUCUCAGUAUUUUUCCAGAAGAAUUGAAAGCAUCAUACCAUAUCAAUAUAUGUGCACCCAUGUUCAUAGCAGCACAAUUUGUUUUAGAUAAAUCUUGGAAACAACCUAAAUGCCCAUUAACUGAGGAAUGGGAAAAACAAUGUGGU